UGUUGUUAAUAAAAAAAGAAGAAAGAAGAUUUUCAUCUAAAAUGAGAAAAGAGGAGAGAAAACAGCUGCAUUUAUGCAAGAUGCUCCCCACUAGAUCAUCACUAAAAUGAAAGUAAAGGAAUGAAAGAGGAGAGGUAGGAGAGGAAAAAACAAUCUGUGAGAAAUAACAACAUAUAUCAGAAGCUGGAAAGUGCAUGGAGUAGAGCUCAGUGACACAACAGAGCAGAAAAAGCAGAAGCAGAGAGGAAUGAGCGUACAAAGCAAGUCUGAAUUUACCCUGGAGAACCCCACAAAGGCUUGAAACUUGGAAACAUCAUGAACUGCUGGGCCAGAGGUGAGGAUCCAGAUGAAAAUCAAAAGAAUUAACUGAAAGUCUGAACUAGAACAGUAAGACUUCUGGAUGUCUCCACCUCUCGCUGCCCAAAGACAGCUCCUUUCCUCUCCUCCACAGAGACCAGAGGUUUAGUCUCAAACACUGAGGGUACCAGUGAGAAGGGAGUGGAGGAGUGAGGCAUCAGGUUGAAAUCAGAGUGGUUAGGGGAGAGUCUAGACUGAAUAGUCAGACACUGCCUACCUGCUUCAGUUCCUGACUUGUGUCUAGAACUUCAUUAGCCAGGGGUAUUCCAUCCUUUGUCCACUAACACACACAGGAGAUCAGAAAAUUCUUCUAUGGAGAAAUGGAAUUGCAGAAAACUGCUACAGAUAUUGGCAUCCUGACCAUGUACUGGCCUCCCCAAUUAAAAACCCAAUUUGGCUGGGCACAGUGGCUCACGCCUAUAACCCCAACACUUUGGGAAGCCGAGGCAGGCGGAUCACCUGAGGUCAGGAGUUUGAAACCAGCCUGGUCAACAUGGUGAAACCCUGUCUCUACUAAAAAUACAAAAAUUAGCCAGGGGUGGUGGUGCACACCUGUAAUCCUAGCUACUCGGGAGGCUGAGGCAGGAGAAUCACUUGAAACUGGGAGACGGAGGUUGCAGUGAGCUGAGAUCGGCCAUUGCACUCCAGCCUGGGAAACAGAGUGAGACUCUUGUCUCAAAAUAAAUAAAUAAAUAAAUAAAUAAAUAGAAAGGAAAAACCCAAUUUGCCUCCAAACUACCCUGCAGUGAGGCUUUCUACUCUUAUUUUAGUGACCCAUUCUCAAAUAUGAAGUAUCACUAGAUACCUGAGAAAUGAGUGAAAAACACCAGAUAAAAAGGAACUCAGAAGAAACAAAGGCAAUAGAGAAAGCAAAAAAAAUUUAAACUUUUUCUGUUAAUACCUUUAGAUACAUAAGGCAAGAUCUUGAGUGUAUGAAAAAGAAUAAGAUUACAUAACAAGGAGUAAUAAGGAAAAAAAA
rnacentral:lncRNA from 1 species